GAUGAACGCUGGCGGCGUGCCUAAUACAUGCAAGUCGAGCGAACAGACGAGGAGCUUGCUCCUCUGACGUUAGCGGCGGACGGGUGAGUAACACGUGGAUAACCUACCUAUAAGACUGGGAUAACUUCGGGAAACCGGAGCUAAUACCGGAUAAUAUAUUGAACCGCAUGAUUCAAUAGUGAAAGACGGUUUUGCUGUCACUUAUAGAUGGAUCCGCGCCGCAUUAGCUAGUUGGUAAGGUAACGGCUUACCAAGGCAACGAUGCGUAGCCGACCUGAGAGGGCGAUCGGCCACACUGGAACUGAGACACGGUCCAGACUCCUACGGGAGGCAGCAGUAGGGAAUCUUCCGCAAUGGGCGAAAGCCUGACGGAGCAACGCCGCGUGAGUGAUGAAGGUCUUCGGAUCGUAAAACUCUGUUAUUAGGGAAGAACAAAUGUGUAAGUAACUAUGCACGUCUUGACGGUACCUAAUCAGAAAGCCACGGCUAACUACGUG
rnacentral:rRNA from 1 species